rnacentral:lncRNA from 1 species
CAUAUAAAGUGAUUGUGAAGUGUGAACUGAUACUUUAUUAAUCACAUAAAGGUUCAUAUAUCUCUACACAACGUGUCGAAGAUUAAAACUAUAGAUAGGAAAAGAUCUUUAUAGAUAUACAACACUACCAUAUCCAUACUAUCACUUGUAAAUUUGGUUGACUAUGUUAGGAAAGCCUAACACAAUGACAAUGAACCGAGAAAGACACAUACCCGAAACUCUUUUUAUAUGGAAAUUAGCAAAAUCAUCAUAUAAUAUAGUCCAGAAAUUGAAAUAGGAAGAGGUUUAGAUUACAUAAUUAAACUGGAUAAACUAAAAAUAUAAGACAUAACCACAAAUCAAAGAUUUGUGACUGAGAGAGAAGUCAUGAGAACAACAUCAUCAGUAAAGACGAAAGAGAUAUAACAUUGUUGGCAUUGUCGUCUUCGUCCAAAUAGAUGCUGUCUAGAACUGCUUGUGAUCCAUCCAAGGAAAAUUUGUUUCCUCACCAUACUUCAUCAUCUGUUCAAUGAAUCCUUGG